UGUAAUUUAGUUUAAGAAGAAUUUUUAUUUUUGGUGUGAAGGGUUUUGAUUACAUA
rnacentral:tRNA from 1 species